rnacentral:ncRNA from 2 species
CAAAGGGUGUUGGUCGAUUAAGAC